rnacentral:tRNA from 1 species
GGGACGGGACUAUUUAUAUUAAGACUUCUUUUAAAUUGAAGAUUAUUAUAAUUAAAAUAAUAUAUUUAAAAUAAGGAUGGUUGACUGAGUGGUUUAAAGUGUGAUAUUUGAGCUAUCAUUAGUUUUAUAAACUACGUAGGUUCGAAUCCUACACCCUCCGAAAUAAUUUAUUUUAUUACUUAAUUAUAAGUAUAUAAUUCUUUCUAUAUUUAUCUUGAAAGUUUAUAUAAAUAAUAUAUAAGUAAUAUAAUAAUAAUAUUAUUAUGUAACCCGGAUCGACUACUUAUUUACGAGUGGGAUAUCCUAUGGGAAGUUAUA